rnacentral:lncRNA from 1 species
CGAUAGGACAAGGGGGAAUGGUCUUAAACUGAGACAGGGGAGGUUUAGGUUGGAUAUUAGGAGGAAGUUUUUCGCCCAGAGGGUGGUGACACCCUGGAACAGGUUGCCCAAGGAGGUUGUGGAUGCCCCAUCCCUGGAGGCAUUCAAGGCCAGGCUGGAUGUGGCUCUGGGCAGCCUGGUCUGGUGGUUGACAACCCUGUACAUAGCAGGGGGGUUGAAACUCGAUGAUCAUUGUGGUCCUUUUCAACCCAGGCCCUUCUAUGAUAAUAUGAUAAUAAUGAGAAUAGUAGAAAUAUGCUCUUCAAGAAUGGAUAGAUGUGAGCAGGACCAGCAAUCUAUGGCAGCACUAACCUUAUGCAAAGAGCUGUGAUGUGAAACCCAGUGGAAAUUUUGCUGUGCGUGAAGCUCAUUGAGUGUGUGUCAUCCUGCCUGGCUCAGAGCCUGGGAUAAACACCUCUACCUUCUUCUGGGACACAUAAAGUGGCUUUGAGAAAAGCUUUUCCUAAGCCUCUUCAGGUGAAAAUCUAAUACCAAAUCAUUUCUGCUGCGCUUUAUUAGAGAUGCUUGCAACUGAAUUGCUAUAGAUUGCCUUUUAAAUCUGAUCUCGCAUUUUAAAAGUUGCGACGGGAAAAUGUCAGUGAUAUACGUCCAGCUCUCUGUCAGAUGUGAAGGAAAACACAGUUUAUCGGUGACCUGCUAACAGCAGAGAAGCCACUGACUAGCUGCAUGCCCAUACUAACAUCAGUAACUGCACGGAGUACAUCAGACACGCUAGUAGGAAGAGCUGAGACAUCAUCAGGUCCUGCUCUGGCAAAAGAAGUAACGGGGCAUUUAGAUUUCAUAGGAGGCAUUCAGCUUCUUGCAAAAAUGGAAACAGUUCAUAUAGUUUUCAUUAACAAGUAUUUUCUGACAGUUGUCAUGCUUAGAGUUUUGUAAGCUGUGCUAUGCACAGUGUUAAGAAGUGUCCUCUGGCUGGUCGUCUCCCAAGACAGGUAGUUAAAGAAAACCUGAAUUCCCUAUGCUAUGAUUUUUUGUUUUACUUAGAUGAAAGAGCUUGGUUCACUUUGACCGCUUUCCCUAAGCCAGAAGUCGCUGUGUUCUGGGACUUGGAAGACUUUGAAUGAUGAAUUGGUGUCUGCUGACCAAAAUGCUUUGCAGGUCCUCUAAUGGAUUUUAUUUCUAAAUGUUAUUAAAAUGCAUUUUUUGAAAUAUAAAUACAUUUUCACAGUAGCACUAUCCUAAUUCGAAUGACCUUUCUUUGGUAGUGUCAAAAUAAAUCCAUUGCAUUUAUUUACUUUGCUCUUCCAGUGAUAGUAUGGGUAAAAUAAGUGUAUGGGUAUAUGGGUAUAUGGGUAUAGUAGUAUAUGGG